GACUCGGUAGCGGAUGGCCCGCGUCCGCUUAACAUAAACCUGAUUCUGAACGUACAUGUGGAAGGCGCCUGUUCGAAUCAGGCCCGAGUCC